ensembl:snoRNA
CCUGCCCCUAGAAGCAUUAUAGGUGUGGCUGCUGCAUCACAUUGUGUCAGUAGGUAAUAGACAGGAGAGCGGCUGCGUCUAUGCUCCGUGUCCUUGCCUAUGAGCAUCUGGAUGAUUAGGACACUAACAUU